GGGGAGCAUCCAGAUGCUGGGAUGUUACCUGAUACAAUCUUCCUAUAUAAAAAACUGUUGUUUCCUGCUUCUAGUACUUGAGCAAGUCCUGCAAGUCUCAAAUAUACAGUGACAAGU